rnacentral:rRNA from 1 species
AGAGUUUGAUCUUGGCUCAGGAUGAACGCUGGCGGCGUGCUUAACACAUGCAAGUCGAACGCUGAAGCUCCCAGCUUGCUGGGGGUGGAUGAGUGGCGAACGGGUGAGUAUCACGUGAGUAACCUGCCCUGAACUCUGGGAUAAGCCUGGGAAACUGGGUCUAAUACUGGAUAGGACUGGCCAUCGCAUGGUGGUUGGUUGAAAGCUUUUGCGGUUUUGGAUGGACUCGCGGCCUAUCAGCUUGUUGGUGGGGUAAUGGCCUACCAAGGCUUUGACGGGUAGCCGGCCUGAGAGACUGAUCGGCCACAAUGGGACUGAGACACGGCCCAUACUCCUACGGGAGGCAGCAGUAGGGAAUCUUCCACAAUGGGCGCAAGCCUGAUGGAGCAACGCCGCGUGAAUGAAGAAGGUCUUCGGAUCGUAAAAUUCUGUUGUUAGAGAAGAAUAUGAGUAAUAGUAACUGAUUAUUCACUGACGGUAUCUAACCAGCAAGUCACGGCUAACUACGUGCCAGCAGCCGCGGUAAUACGUAGGUGGCAAGCGUUGUCCGGAUUUAUUGGGCGUAAAGGGAACGCAGGCGGUUUUUUAAGUCUGAUGUGAAAGCCUUCGGCUUAACCGGAGAUGUGCAUUGGAAACUGGAAGACUUGAGUGCAGAAGAGGAGAGUGGAACUCCAUGUGUAGCGGUGAAAUGCGUAGAUAUAUGGAAGAACACCAGUGGCGAAAGCGGCUCUCUGGUCUGUAACUGACGCUGAGGUUCGAAAGCAUGGGUAGCGAACAGGAUUAGAUACCCUGGUAGUCC